CCUANGGGCGGCUGCAGUGGGGAAUUUUGGACAAUGGGCGCAAGCCUGAUCCAGCAAUGCCGCGUGCAGGAUGAAGGCCUUCGGGUUGUAAACUGCUUUUGUACGGAACGAAACGGCUCUUUCUAAUAAAGAGGGCUAAUGACGGUACCGUAAGAAUAAGCACCGGCUAACUACGUGCCAGCAGCCGCGGUAAUACGUAGGGUGCGAGCGUUAAUCGGAAUUACUGGGCGUAAAGCGUGCGCAGGCGGUUAUAUAAGACAGAUGUGAAAUCCCCGGGCUCAACCUGGGACCUGCAUUUGUGACUGUAUAGCUAGAGUACGGUAGAGGGGGAUGGAAUUCCGCGUGUAGCAGUGAAAUGCGUAGAUAUGCGGAGGAACACCGAUGGCGAAGGCAAUCCCCUGGACCUGUACUGACGCUCAUGCACGAAAGCGUGGGGAGCAAACAGGAUUAGAUACCCGANUANUC
rnacentral:rRNA from 1 species